GUGCCUAAUACAUGCAAGUCGAGCGAACAGAUAAGGAGCUUGCUCCUUUGACGUUAGCGGCGGACGGGUGAGUAACACGUGGGUAACCUGCCCUAUAGUUUGGGAUAACUCCGGGAAACCGGGGCUAAUACCGAAUAAGUGAUUUCUUCGCAUGAAGUGAAUCUGGAAAGACGGUUUCGGCUGUCGCUAUAGGAUGGACCCGCGGCGCAUUAGCUAGUUGGUGAGGUAACGGCUCACCAAGGCAACGAUGCGUAGCCGACCUGAGAGGGUGAUCGGCCACACUGGGACUGAGACACGGUCCAGACUCCUACGGGAGGCAGCAGUAGGGAAUCUUCCACAAUGGACGAAAGUCUGAUGGAGCAACGCCGCGUGAGUGAAGAAGGAUUUCGGUUCGUAAAACUCUGUUGCAAGGGAAGAACAAGUAGCGUAGUAACUGGCGCUACCUUGACGGUACCUUGUUAGAAAGCCACGGCUAACUACGUGCCAGCAGCCGCGGUAAUACGUAGGUGGCAAGCGUUGUCCGGAAUUAUUGGGCGUAAAGCGCGCGCAGGUGGUUCUUUAAGUCUGAUGUGAAAGCCCCCGGCUCAACCGGGGAGGGUCAUUGGAAACUGGGGAACUUGAGUGCAGAAGAGGAUAGUGGAAUUCCAAGUGUAGCGGUGAAAUGCGUAGAGAUUUGGAGGAACACCAGUGGCGAAGGCGACUGUCUGGUCUGUAACUGACACUGAGGCGCGAAAGCGUGGGGAGCAAACAGGAUUAGAUACCCUGGUAGUCCACGCCGUAAACGAUGAGUGCUAAGUGUUGGGGGGUUUCCGCCCCUCAGUGCUGCAGCUAACGCAUUAAGCACUCCGCCUGGGGAGUACGGUCGCAAGACUGAAACUCAAAUGAAUUGACGG
rnacentral:rRNA from 1 species